UACGGAGGGGGCUAGCGUUGUUCGGAAUUACUGGGCGUAAAGCGCACGUAGGCGGAUUCUUAAGUCGGUGGUGAAAUCCUGGAGCUCAACUCCAGAACUGCCUUCGAUACUGGGAAUCUUGAGUUCGGGAGAGGUGAGUGGAACUGCGAGUGUAGAGGUGAAAUUCGUAGAUAUUCGCAAGAACACCAGUGGCGAAGGCGGCUCACUGGCCCGAUACUGACGCUGAGGUGCGAAAGCGUGGGAGCAACAGG
rnacentral:rRNA from 1 species